rnacentral:miRNA from 1 species
AGCAAUGGAAUUAUAGACUGC